UUACGGCCACAACCCGUUGAAACACCGGUUCAAGUACGAUCACGGAAGUUAAGAAACAUUGAGCCUGGUCAGUACAUAGAUGGGUGAUCGCUUGGAAAUACCAGGUGUU